CACGGGUGAGUAACACGUGGGAAUAUACCUUUCGGUGGGGAAUAACAGCGGGAAACUGCUGCUAAUACCGCAUACGCCCUUCGGGGGAAAGAUUUAUCGCCGAGAGAUUAGCCCGCGUCCGAUUAGCUAGUUGGUAAGGUAACGGCUUACCAAGGCUACGAUCGGUAGCUGGUCUGAGAGGAUGAUCAGCCACACUGGGACUGAGACACGGCCCAGACUCCUACGGGAGGCAGCAGUGGGGAAUAUUGGACAAUGGGCGCAAGCCUGAUCCAGCCAUGCCGCGUGAGUGAUGAAGGCCUUAGGGUUGUAAAGCUCUUUCGACGGGGACGAUGAUGACGGUACCCGUAGAAGAAGCCCCGGCUAACUUCGUGC
rnacentral:rRNA from 1 species